rnacentral:lncRNA from 1 species
AUGUAAAAUUUAAAAAAUUUAAAUUACGUAUUUCCAAAGGCGAAAUUUACGGAAUUACUUUAUACGAGUUAUCCAAUUUUUAUCUCAGAACCAGGGAAACGGUAUGUUUAUGAAUUCAAACUGUAAUCUAUGACAAGACUCGGCCGGGUCAACUUGGCAAAUAAUUAAUUUUUUGAAAAUUUUCAUUUGUUUUCCAGCAAUAAAAAGUUGGAAGUUUCUCGCAGAAAUCCUGGCAUGACCUUUAGCUGCAUUCUGGUGAAGAGUGCUGUGUGAUCUGGUGGAGAUGACCUGAACUUGCUUUGUGCUGCAAUCUCUUGUACAUGUACCACCAGAUUCCAGGAAUGUGAUAACUCAACUUUACUUUCAUCAUAGAGGUGUUGUGGUCUAGUGGAUAAGUCAUCCGACUGCAGAUCACAAGGUACAGGGUUCAAGUUCUGCUGCAGCACUAAUGUCCUUUGGCGAGACGUUAAUCUACAUUUGUCACUCUCCACCCAGGUGUUAAAUGGGUACCCGGUAGGAUGCAAAAGUUAAUGUAGUUGGAUGAGCAAGUGUGCGUUUGUAAAAUGGGGACUGGGCGGAAUGCUCCCCAGGGAGUGAAGAACAUGCAUACAUUGUGUGCUGGCAAGCCUAAAUCAGAUGACUGGGUAAUGAUAUAUAUAUAUCUGUAAAGCACUUAGACACAUCGUUUUAUUGAUGUAUCAUGUGCUAUAUAAAAACAGAAUAUUAUUAUUAUUACACCUGUAAGAACAUCAAGAUUUCAAGGUUAAGAAUUUCAUAAUUAUAAAAGCAAAGUGAUGAAUGAAAAAUAUAAAAGAUUCAGCCUAAUUUAAUUGUCAAUAAAUUGAUGCAAAUGAAUGUAAAACCUUUCAGGAUUCUAUGGUUACACUGAUGGAGCAUGCUUACAUGUUGUAAUUAUGAUUCAUAUCCAAGAUAUUUUUAUUAUCUUUUGCUAUUUGCCCACUUUUGUAAAAUAGAAUAUUUCAAGCUACCACAUCUGGUUAAAGCUACAAUAGCUGACAGUUGGGCAAGGAUGUUCAAUUUGUUUUGGUGCCAAUGGGUGCCGGCUUAAUGUGCAUAUGUAUAGUGUUGGGUUCAUGAUCAUACAUCAUGUUGAGCCCUUACUGUGUUGAACAUUACCUCUUUAAGUGGUUAUUUAUAUUAGGUAUUGAAGAUCAGUACAAGUUCAAGGCAAAGUUACCAUAAGCGCAUUACAAAUUUAGUACAUUGACAAGGGGCAUUUAAUAACAAUUAGUGAACUGGCCGCAUUGUAUUAGAGAGUUUUUUUUAAUUGUGAUACUGUAUCUUAAACUUUUGAUGAAGGAAUAACGCACUGUAAAUACAAAUAAUUUCAAAAACAUAUCUUCACUGAAAAUAUAUGUGUGAAUAGUGUUACAUGGUUUCGUGAAAACCGUUGUUCUUGUGCAUUACCUAUUGGACAAUAUGAGGUAUAGUAUACCAGGUCAGAAGCUGAUUUGAACUGGAAAAGUUAUAACUUUCUGGCUUGUUAUUUCAGCUCACUGCUUGUGAAAUCAUGAACAUUGUUACCAGUUCACUUUAAUGCAGAUCUUUAUUUGACCUUUACUCAAAUCGUUUUGAAUCUCAUGAUAAUAUUAUGUAACUCGUGAUGAAUUCAUGAUAUAGCCCAAGAAAAUAAGUACACUGAAUGGCGCAUGAUUUGAAUUUAAUUUAUUUUAUUCAUUAAAUAUGUGUAACACUCGAAAAUUGUCCUAUUACUUCACCUAAAUAUAUAGGAUUAUGAUGUGUUUUAGAUUAGGUCACACUACAAUCGUCAGCGGUAUCAAUGCCACAGUUGUUAUUACUCAAAGAGUUGUAAUUUGUGAUAAUUGAUUAUUAAAUAAGCUUUGUCUAGUGUGUUUAAGAUUGAUGUCAAAUAAAGUUUGGAUGUGAAAAUAUAA